CUUCGUUUCCCUCUCGGCCGGGCACCCGAGCGCAUCCCGCCGAGGCCGGGCCGUUUCAGGGGGAGGCGCCAACUCGUCGCGGCGCCGGGCCCCUGACCGUGCAGUAACCGCUACCCAGGAGGCGGAGCGGACAAGGCUCCGGCCUGCGAGGAGCCAGUACAGGCUACUCUGUCAUCUUUGAAGAUGUUAGAUGUGGGAAAGUGGCCAAUUUUUUCCCUUUGUUCUGAAGAAGAACUACAGUUAAUUCGUCAGGCUUGUGUCUUUGGCAGUGCUGGCAAUGAAGUUUUAUACACUACAGUAAAUGAUGAGAUUUUUGUGCUUGGCACAAACUGCUGUGGCUGUUUGGGGUUAGGUGACGUCCAGAGCACCAUUGAACCUCGGAGACUGGAUUCUUUAAAUGGCAAAAAAAUAGCCUGCCUCAGCUAUGGGAGUGGUCCACAUAUUGUCCUUGCAACAACAGAAGGAGAAGUCUUUACCUGGGGUCAUAAUGCUUAUAGCCAGCUGGGCAAUGGGACAACUAAUCAUGGUUUAGUGCCCUGUCAUAUCUCUACUAAUCUGUCAAACAAACAAGUCAUUGAAGUUGCCUGUGGGUCUUACCAUUCUUUGGUGCUAACAUCUGAUGGAGAGGUAUUUGCCUGGGGUUAUAAUAACUCUGGGCAGGUAGGAUCUG
rnacentral:sRNA from 1 species